rnacentral:rRNA from 1 species
AGUGAACGCUGGCGGUAGGCCUAACACAUGCAAGUCGAACGGCAGCACAGUAAGAGCUUGCUCUUACGGGUGGCGAGUGGCGGACGGGUGAGGAAUACAUCGGAAUCUACUUUUUCGUGGGGGAUAACGUAGGGAAACUUACGCUAAUACCGCAUACGACCUACGGGUGAAAGCAGGGGAUCUUCGGACCUUGCGCGAUUGAAUGAGCCGAUGUCGGAUUAGCUAGUUGGCGGGGUAAAGGCCCACCAAGGCGACGAUCCGUAGCUGGUCUGAGAGGAUGAUCAGCCACACUGGAACGGAGACACGGUCCAGACUCCUACGGGAGGCAGCAGUGUGGAAUAUUGGACAAUGGGCGCAAGCCUGAUCCAGCCAUACCGCGUGGGUGAAGAAGGCCUUCGGGUUGUAAAGCCCUUUUGUUGGGAAAGAAAAGCAGCAGGUUAAUACCCCGCUGUUCUGACGGUACCCAAAGAAUAAGCACCGGCUAACUUCGUG